rnacentral:rRNA from 1 species
GUCUUUUAAUUGAGGACUAGUAUGAAUGGUUGGAUGAAAAAUAUACUUUCUUUAUUUUAUAUAAAUAAUUUUAUUUUUUAGUUAAAAAGCUGAGAUGUUUUUAGAGGACGAGAAGACCCUAUAGAACUUUAUUAUAAUUUAUAUAAUAAUAAUAUAUUUUUAAUUUUUGUUAUAGGAGUUAUAAUUUCAUUGGGGUGAUGGAAAAAAUUUUAUAACUUUUUCUUUUAAAAUCAUAAUAAAUGUAUAUAUGAUCUUUUUUUAAAAAAAUAAGUCUAAGUUACCUUAGGGAUAACAGCGUUAUUUUCUUGGAGAGUUCUUAUCGAUAAGAAAGUUUGCGACCUCGAUGUUGGAUUAAAGAUAGUUUUAGGGGUAAAAAAUUAAAAUCUUGGUCUGUUCGACCAUUAAAUCUUUACA